UACGGAGGGUGCGAGCGUUGUCCGGAAUCACUGGGCGUAAAGGGCGCGUAGGCGGCGCGAGCAGUCGGCGGUGAAAGCCCGGAGCUCAACUCCGGGUCGGCCGUCGAUACUCUCGUGCUUGAGCACUGUAGAGGCAGAUGGAAUUCCGGGUGUAGCGGUGGAAUGCGUAGAGAUCCGGAAGAACACCGGUGGCGAAGGCGGUCUGCUGGGCAGUAGCUGACGCUGAUGCGCGACAGCGUGGGGAGUAAACAGG
rnacentral:rRNA from 1 species